GAUCCUGGCUCAGGAUGAACGCUAGCUACAGGCUUAACACAUGCAAGUCGAGGGGCAGCAUGGUCUUAGCUUGCUAAGGCUGAUGGCGACCGGCGCACGGGUGGGUAACACGUAUCCAACCUGCCGUCUACUCUUGGCCAGCCUUCCGAAAGGAAGAUUAAUCCAGGAUGGGAUCAUGAGUUCACAUGUCCGCAUGAUUAAAGGUAUUUUCCGGUAGACGAUGGGGAUGCGUU
rnacentral:rRNA from 1 species